CCAACAGUAGUGCAUUGUACCUCAUUUGCAAUUUAAUCUUACUUUCAUCUAACCCAAGCUUCGUGUAUAUUCUAGCUUCUAACAUGGAGAGAGUUAUCUUCUCCCAUGAUGUCUUCAUCAUCAAACUAUACAUGCAACCUUCACAUUUAAAAUAUAUGAUCACGUUCUCCUUCAUUGUAUCCUGCCAAAACAAUACAAAAACUCUGUUAGUAAUACUACUUUUACUAGUUUUACUACAUUUGUAGUAAUACUAGUGUAACUCGUCAUACUACAUAUAUCAGUAGUACUAAUCUAACUAGUCAUACUACAUAUAUCAGUUUUAAUAGUUUCAGGUUCAAUUCUACCUAGUUCUACUUCCGCGACAAGAACACAAAUUGGAUGGUUUCAGGUUCAAAUCUACAAUUCACUACGAUUCAGCAACUGAAAUCCGUUUGUUACCCAUUUACAGACCUAUUCGACCCAGAAACUAUGCAUAAACUUCCAAUGUGGAUACCCAAACACAAAAAAUCUAAAUCUGAUUGGAUCCGAUCCCCAAUAUUUGUAAAUCCAAAACUUCAAAAGGAAAGCUCUAUGGAGCUCAAGGAAUAUACUUGUACUUUCUAUCUCGACGCAGCUCGC
rnacentral:lncRNA from 1 species